rnacentral:rRNA from 1 species
AUGCUCCAGAGAUGCCGCUUACUCCGGCCUGUUUCCUUCCGCCGCCGCCCCAUCCACUCCUCCGCUCCGCCCCAAGCCGACGGCGAGGUCGGCGCCGCGACCGACCCCACUCUACUGGGCCGUCUCACUCGCCUCCUCCUCCUCCACCGCUUCCCCGCCGUUUCCCGCCUCCUCUCCUCCUCCCCGCUCACACACGCACUCCUCCACGCCGCCCUCCGCCGCGUCCGCCUCGACCCGGACGCCGCCCUCCACCUCUUCCGCCUUGCUCCGUACCGCCCGUCCCUCCUCGCCCACGCCCAGCUCCUCCACAUCCUCGCCCACGCCCGCCGCCUGCCCGCCGCGCGUGACCUCGUCGCCUCGCUCCUCUCCGCCCGCUCCAGCUCCGCAGCCCCGUCCCUCUUCCCCCACCUCGCCGAGGUGUACAAAGACUUCUCCUUCUCCGCCGCCUCCUUCGACCUGCUCCUCCGAGCCCACGCAGACGCUGGCCAGCUUACCGACGCCCUCCACGUGUUCGAUGAAAUGGGGAAGUUUGGGUGCCGUCGCACCCUGCGAUCCUGCAACCGCCUGCUUAACCAGCUAGUGCAGGCUGGGGAUGUGGGCACCGCGGUGGCUGUGUUUGAGCAGAUGCGGUGCGAUGGUACCCUGCCGGACGAGUUCACGGUGGCCAUCAUGGCGAAGGCAUACUGCAGGGAUGGGAGGGUGACACAGGCAGUGGAUUUCGUGCAGGACAUGGAGAGGAUGGGCGUGGAGGUGAACCUGGUGGCAUAUCAUGCGGUUAUGGAUGGGUAUUGCGGAGUAGGACAGACCGAGGCUGCGAGAAGGGUUUUGCUGUCACUGGAGUCUAAGGGUCUGUCACCGAAUGUGGUGACAUAUACCUUACUUGUAAAGGGUUACUGCAAGGAGGGGAGGAUGGAGGAGGCUGAGAGGGUUGUAAGGGAAAUGACAGAAAAUGAGAAGAUUGUGGUUGACGAGGUAGCCUAUGGUGCGGUGAUCAAUGGCUAUUGCCAAAGGGGAAGAAUGGAAGAUGCCAACAGGGUAAGAGCUGAGAUGAUUGAUGUCGGACUGCAGGUUAAUUUGUUUGUGUACAACACACUGAUCAAUGGAUAUUGCAAGUUGGGGAGGAUGGUUGAAGUAGAGGAACUUUUACAGGAAAUGGAGGAUAGAGGGGUGCGUCUGGAUAAAUAUAGUUACAAUACUCUAGUAGAUGGGUAUUGCAGAAAUGGUUCCAUGAACAAGGCAUUUGGAACCUGUGAUAUGAUGGUAAGGAAUGGGUUCGCAGGGACAACACUAACAUAUAACACGCUAUUGAAUGGUUUUUGCUCGUGUGGUGCUAUUGAUGAUGCACUUAAAUUGUGGUUCUUGAUGUUGAAGAGGGGAGUAGCGCCUAAUGAAAUUAGCUGUAGCACACUGUUGGAUGGUUUCUUCAAAGCAGGUAAAACCGAGAAGGCCUUGAACCUUUGGAAGGAAACCUUAGCAAGGGGUUUGGGGAGAAACGUGGUUACAAUUAACACGGUUAUUAAUGGGUUGUGUAAGAUUAGGAGGAUGGUUGAAGCAGAGGAGCUAUUUGGUAGGAUGAAGGAAUGGAGGUGUCCUGCUGACAGCUUGACUUACAGAACACUAAUUGAUGGUUACUGUAAAAUAGGUGACCUGGAUAGAGCUACUCAAAUUAGGGUUGACAUGGAACAUUUAGGCUUUGUUCCUUCAGUUGAAAUGUUCAAUUCUUUCAUAACCGGAUUCUUUGUAGCUAGGCAAAGUGGCAAGGUGAAUGAUAUCGUUGUUGAAAUGACUGCAAAGGGACUUUCUCCUAAUACAGUCACUUAUGGAGCCCUGAUAGCUGGAUGGUGUAAUGAGGGCAAUCUGCAUGAUGCCUAUAAUUUGUAUUUUGAAAUGGUCGAGAAAGGUCUGGCUCCAAAUCUCUUCAUCUGCAGUGCUUUAGUGAGCUGUUUCUAUAGACAGGGAAAGGUUGAUGAGGCAAAUUUGGUGUUGCAAAAGCUUGUCGGUACAAACAUGAUUCCAGACUGCAGUGCAAGCACGCUUGAUAUUGGUAAAGUAGCACAUGUCAUUGAAUCUCUUGCUGGUGGAAAUCACCAGUCUGCAAAAAUUAUGUGGAACAUUGUUAUUUUUGGGCUGUGCAAAUUGGGUAGAGUUUCAGAUGCUAGAAAUUUGUUUGAGGAUCUGAAAGUAAAGGGAUUCGUUCCUGAUAACUACACUUAUUCUAGCCUCAUUCAUGGUUGCUCUGCCUCAGGUUUUGUCGAUGUAGCUUUUGGCCUGAGGGAUGCGAUGUUGGGCGUCGGUCUUACUCCAAAUAUUGUAACAUACAAUUCUCUCAUCUAUGGCCUCUGCAAGUCUGGGAAUGUUCAAAGGGCAGUUAGUCUUUUCAGUAAGUUGCAAUCAAAGGGUAUGUCCCCUAAUGCUAUCACCUAUAAUACCCUGAUUGAUGGACAUUGCAAGGAUGGUAAUACAACUGAAGCCUUCAAGUUAAAACAAAAGAUGAUCGAGCAAGGUAUUCAGCCUAAUGUAUUCACCUAUUCUAUACUGAUCCAUGGUCUCUGUACUCAAGGGUAUAUGGAAGAAGCAAUCAAGCUUCUGGAUCAAAUGAUUGAGAAUAAUGUGGAUCCAAAUUAUGUUACAUAUUGGACACUGAUUCAAGGUUAUGUUCGGUGUGGUAAUAUGAAAGAGAUUUCCAAGCUUUACAAUGAGAUGCAUAUCCGUGGACUUCUGCCUGCCAAUGAUGUUGGUCAGUUAUGA